rnacentral:ncRNA from 2 species
AAGAUUCUAAUGGGAGAGACCCCAUAAAGAGGGGCACCAAAGAUGCAAUCUGCUUGGGCCAGGCAGCCGGCAGAGAAUAUUUCAGGUAAAAGAACCAUUAGGUGAAG